GCAUAUCAAUAAGCGGAGGAAAAGAAACCAACCGGGAUUGCCUUAGUAACGGCGAGUGAAGCGGCAAAAGCUCAAAUUUGAAAUCUGGUACCUUCGGUGCCCGAGUUGUAAUUUGGAGAGGGCAACUUUGGGGCCGUUCCUUGUCUAUGUUCCUUGGAACAGGACGUCAUAGAGGGUGAGAAUCCCGUGUGGCGAGGAGUGCGGUUCUUUGUAAAGUGCCUUCGAAGAGUCGAGUUGUUUGGGAAUGCAGCUCUAAGUGGGUGGUAAAUUCCAUCUAAAGCUAAAUAUUGGCGAGAGACCGAUAGCGAACAAGUACAGUGAUGGAAAGAUGAAAAGAACUUUGAAAAGAGAGUGAAAAAGUACGUGAAAUUGUUGAAAGGGAAGGGCAUUUGAUCAGACAUGGUGUUUUGUGCCCUCUGCUCCUUGUGGGUAGGGGAAUCUCGCAUUUCACUGGGCCAGCAUCAGUUUUGGUGGCAGGAUAAAUCCAUAGGAAUGUAGCUUGCCUCGGUAAGUAUUAUAGCCUGUGGGAAUACUGCCAGCUGGGACUGAGGACUGCGACGUAAGUCAAGGAUG
rnacentral:rRNA from 1 species